rnacentral:rRNA from 1 species
AACGAACGCUGGCGGCAGGCGUAACACAUGCAAGUCGAACGCCCCGCAAGGGGAGUGGCAGACGGGUGAGUAACGCGUGGGAACAUACCCUUUUCUACGGAAUAGCUCUGGGAAACUGGAGUUAAUACCGUAUACGCCCUACGGGGGAAAGAUUUAUCGGGGAAGGAUUGGCCCGCGUUGGAUUAGCUAGUUGGUGGGGUAAAGGCCUACCAAGGCGACGAUCCAUAGCUGGUCUGAGAGGAUGAUCAGCCACAUUGGGACUGAGACACGGCCCAAACUCCUACGGGAGGCAGCAGUGGGGAAUAUUGGACAAUGGGCGCAAGCCUGAUCCAGCCAUGCCGCGUGAGUGAUGAAGGCCUUAGGGUUGUAAAGCUCUUUCACCGAUGAAGAUAAUGACGGUAGUCGGAGAAGAAGCCCCGGCUAACUUCGUGCCAGCCGCCGCAGUAACAC